rnacentral:rRNA from 1 species
AAGCGGAGGAAAAGAAACCAACAGGGAUUGCCUCAGUAACGGCGAGUGAAGCGGCAAAAGCUCAAAUUUGAAAUCCUUCGGGAGUUGUAAUUUGUAGGUUGGGAGACCCCGCGGCUAGUGGCACCAAGUCCCUUGGAACAGGGCGCCUUAGAGGGUGAGAGCCCCGUAGGUACCACAACACCGUCUUGUGUCUCCUCUCCAAAGAGUCGAGUUGUUUGGGAAUGCAGCUCAAAGUGGGUGGUAAAUUCCAUCUAAAGCUAAAUACCGGCGAGAGACCGAUAGCGAACAAGUACAGUGAUGGAAAGAUGAAAAGCACUUUGAAAAGAGAGUGAAACAGUACGUGAAAUUGUUGAAAGGGAAGGGCUUGCAAGCAGACACGGCCUUCGUGCCGGGCCAGCAUCGGUUGCUAGGGGUGGAUAAGGAACAAGGAAUGUAGCUCCUCGGAGUAUUAUAGCCUUGCGCGAUACACCCACUGGCGACCGAGGCCUGCGGUAUUCUUUUACCUAGGAUGCUGGCGUAAUGGUUGCAAGCCGCCCGUCUUGAA